UUGAUUCUCUUUCCUCUGUGUGUGUGUGUCUCUCUCUUAGAGAACCUCACCUCUUCACCGAAGUCCAUCACCACUGUUGAUCACGUUCGUCGCACAUCACCACCGCUGUAAAUCGCUACCGCCACUGCCGCAAUACAAACAGAGUCAUUAAGCACAAACAGAGGAUCAAGAAAGAAGAGCUAUCGAAAUGGAGAAGGACUCACGUGCUCGGCUUUUUCUUCUUCUGUUCUUCCCUCUGCUCUCCUCUUCAACUGCGACAGCAUGCUCGUUGAUAAAGAGAAGGACGGCUAUCGCAUUUCUUUCAACGACACUUUCACUGAAGUGGCUUUUGACGUCCAAAUGUAGAUAUGACUUUUUUUGACAAGUAUGUAAGGCCAUUGUUUUUAUACCUCUGUUUGUAUAUAUGGUUCAUACAAAUUAUUUUUUUGGCGUGGUAAAUAUCUAAAAUUUGGCUUGGUAGAUAUUAGCAUUCGACGUCGUACAAAUUAAUUUUUCAGGUAGUAUAUAUUAAAUUUUUGGUAUGGUACAGAUUUCCUUUUGGAUAUUAAAUUUGGUUAAUCCUAUAUUAUGUAUGAAAUUAAAUUAUUGAGGUUGGAUUAUACUUGGUAUGUAUGGAAUUUGUAUUACAUUUAG